rnacentral:lncRNA from 1 species
AGGUGAUGAGCGUUAAGCUAAAAAGUGAUGGUAAAAACAGCCACUCGCCACAUAUUUGAAAGGACAUAACUUCAUUCAAAUGAUUCAUUAACUCAGUCUGAGAUCACCUGAGUUAACACUGGGAAUACAAUACUUUGUGGAACUAUUGCUGUGCACAUGACUGUCACAUGACUUCACAUAGAGGGAUACAUUCUUAUAUAGUUCAUAGACUGUUUGUCCAGGAUCUUACAGAUGGUCAUACCUCACACACUUUAACCUGGACUUUCUGAAAUCAUUUUGUGCACUCACUCUAGAUUGAAAACAUAAGCCAAAACAUAUUGCAUUGUAACUUUUUAAGAGGGUGUCAAAUUAGGAUUUACUGAAAUAUAUUUGUGCACAAAAUGUCAUCAUGAAACUUUUGUUUGGUGAAAGAAUUUAUUUUUUCUUAGUUCAUAAUGAGAAUAAUGUUCAUAAUAUCAGUCUGAGUUUGACCUCAAAGGUUCAGUUGACCAGUAUUGACCAUUUGGUUGGUAUCACAUUUAUACCACCAUCUUCACAAUCAUUGUUGUCUUGGUUCUGUGAACUUUGUUACAUUGUUAAACAUGUGCUACAUUUUUUAUGGAUCAGAUGAGGCUAUGGGAACAUAUUGUCAGAUUUCUGAAUAAUCAUGUAGUCUUCAUGAAUGGUUGUUUUAUGUGUAGAAUAUACAAACCUGACAUCAAGUACUGUAAAUCUGGAGGACGUUGCAAACAGGAAAGUAUUGUGGAAUGUGCAAGUGACACACAUCCUGGCAGUAGUUCCUAGCACAGCUAUUUCCAGACCAAAAACAAACAAAUGACAUAAGGAACUAUAUUCCUUUAUUUACUGCCACACAUUGGCAACCCAUAAAAAAAUUCUCCUUGACUUCCUGUUUCCUUAAAAAUGCAUGAUUACACAAUUUCCAAUCAGGGAUGUGUACUGACCUACCACACCUCGUCACGCUGAAUAUCUUAAACCGGGCAGGAACCUGUCCGUACCGUGAUAAACAUGCCAGCCAACCUUCCUGAACUACAACACAUGCUACUUUAAAAUGACACUUAAUUAUAUCGUCUACUGAUAACAGAAUAACACAUGCAAAGAUCGUUGAUAGUCAUAUCAAUGGGGUAACAAAACUUUCCAGAUUUACAGUAUUUUUGUCACUCUGACCCUCGUACCUUACACAUAAUUGUAUGUGUGAUGUUAAGUAUUAUUUGUACACUGACCACACAUUUGAAGACCUUGGUUUCCAGUUUUGGAACCGGAUAUGAUACACAGUUUGUUUGUGAUUGUACAUACUGAUGCUUGUGUUGUUGAACACACCCAUAUGUUGAGGUAUCCUUCCUUGUACGAACCACACUCGUUUCACGGCCUUGUUUUCACAAGUCAUUCAUAUGUAAUUCAACACCACAUUGUUACAAGUUUUGUUGUCAAAUAAUGGCUGAAAAAUUGCUGAAAAUAUUGUAAGACAUGUCAUCUCAUCUUUGUGUUCUGUCCUCCCAUGUUGACUUACUUUUCUUUCACUCUUUUUUUUUGUGUGCUGUCUUCUUCCAGUGAUGUCAGUUAUGUGUUUAUAUAUGCCUUGUAUGAAAAGACCCAAUAUGCCAGUCAUGUUCUUAGAAUCACACAAUGUCAACCUUCAGGAAGUUUUGGCAGAUUAGAUGCUGUGGGGUAGACAAGUAGUUGAAGCAGGUGCUUGUUCAGUCCCCAUGGGAGCAGUGUGUGGAGCCCUCAGAUUAGUGGCUGUGGGGUAGACAAGUGGUUGAAGCAGGUGCUUGUUGUUCAGUCCCCUUGGGAGCACUGUGUGGAGCCCUCAGAUUAGUGGCUGUGGGGUAGCCAAGUGGUUGAAGCAGGUGCUUGUUGUUCAGUCCCCUUGGGAGCAGUGUGUGGAGCCCUCAGAUUAGUGGCUGUGGGGUAGCCAAGUGGUUGAAGCAGGUGCUUGUUGUUCAGUCCCCAUGGGAGCAGUGUGUGGAGCCCUCAGAUUAGUGGCUGUGGGGUAGCCAAGUGGUUGAAGCAGGUGCUUGUUGUUCAGUCCCCUUGGGAGCAGUGUGUGGAGCCCUCAGAUUAGUGGCUGUGGGGUAGCCAAGUGGUUGAAGCAGGUGCUUGUUGUUCAGUCCCCAUGGGAGCAGUGUGUGGAGCCCUCAGAUUAGUGGCUGUGGGGUAGCCAAGUGGUUGAAGCAGGUGCUUGUUUAGUCCCCUUGGGAGCAGCGUGUGGAGCCCUCAGAUUAGUGGCUGUGGGGUAGACAAGUAGUUGAGGCAGGUGCUUGUUCAGUCCCCUUGGGAGCAGUGUGUGGAGCCCUCAGAUUAGAUGCUGUGUGGUAGACAAGUAGUUGAGGCAGGUGCUUGUUCAGUCCCCUUGGGAGCAGUGUGUGGAGCCCUCAGAUUAGAUGCUGUGGGGUAGCCAAGUGGUUGAAGCAGGUGCUUGUUGUUCAGUCCCCUUGGGAGCAGUGUGUGGAGCCCUCAGAUUAGUGUCUGUGGGGUAGCCAAGUGGUUGAAGCAGGUGCUUGUUCAGUCCCCUUAGGAGCAGUGUGUGGAGCCCUCAGAUAAGUGGCUGUGGGGUAGCCAAGUGGUUGAAGCAGGUGCUUGUUGUUCAGUCCCCUUGGGAGCAGCGUGUGGAGCCCUCAGAUUAAUGCUGUGGGGUAGCCAAGUGGUUGAAGCAGGUGCUUGUUGUUCAGUCCCCUUGGGAGCAGUGUGUGGAGCCCUCA